rnacentral:rRNA from 1 species
AGUUUUGAGCUAAAUAUAUUAUAAUAUUAGUUUAUUUAUGAAGGUGUUGUAAAACCUUAUUAAAAAUUAUAUUUAGGGGUGAUAGGCCUUUCAAAAACUAAGAUAUCUUGAAUCUAAUUAAAAGUAUGUAGUACACUCAACACAACUAUUAAGUGAUUAGGCUUUAUAGAACUAUUAACUUAUAAGGAUUUUUAUUUCUUAUAAUUUAAUAAUUAAGUAUAUAAAUAAAAUAAUAUACAUAUAUUAUAGUUUAUAAGGAGUAAUUAGAUAAAUUAAAGUUCAUAAAUUUUGUAAUAAUGUUAAUAUUAGUAUUAAGUUUAUAUUUAUAUGAUGAACUCGGCAAAAAUGUUUCUCAACUGUUUAUCAAAAACAUAACUAUGUGUAUAAAUACAUAGCGGUUUCUGCUCAA